UCCCUGAGGCUGCCGGAAGCUGAGAGGACACUGCACCCUGGCUGGGUUGGAGAUGAAGCGGGGAGGUGGUCUAUGGGAAGACAAGCUGUUGUUUUAAGGGCUUCGGCCAUACUAGAUGAC